GGUUAAGCGACUAAGCGUACACGGUGGAUGCCCUGGCAGUCAGAGGCGAUGAAGGACGUGCUAAUCUGCGAUAAGCGUCGGUAAGGUGAUAUGAACCGUUAUAACCGGCGAUUUCCGAAUGGGGAAACCCAGUGUGUUUCGACACACUAUCAUUAACUGAAUCCAUAGGUUAAUGAGGCGAACCGGGGGAACUGAAACAUCUAAGUACCCCGAGGAAAAGAAAUCAACCGAGAUUCCCCCAGUAGCGGCGAGCGAACGGGGAGCAGCCCAGAGCCUGAAUCAGUGUGUGUGUUAGUGGAAGCGUCUGGAAAGGCGCGCGAUACAGGGUGACAGCCCCGUACACAAAAAUGCACAUGCUGUGAGCUCGAUGAGUAGGGCGGGACACGUGGUAUCCUGUCUGAAUAUGGGGGGACCAUCCUCCAAGGCUAAAUACUCCUGACUGACCGAUAGUGAACCAGUACCGUGAGGGAAAGGCGAAAAGAACCCCGGCGAGGGGAGUGAAAAAGAACCUGAAACCGUGUACGUACAAGCAGUGGGAGCACGCUUAGGCGUGUGACUGCGUACCUUUUGUAUAAUGGGUCAGCGACUUAUAUUCUGUAGCAAGGUUAACCGAAUAGGGGAGCCGAAGGGAAACCGAGUCUUAACUGGGCGUUAAGUUGCAGGGUAUAGACCCGAAACCCGGUGAUCUAGCCAUGGGCAGGUUGAAGGUUGGGUAACACUAACUGGAGGACCGAACCGACUAAUGUUGAAAAAUUAGCGGAUGACUUGUGGCUGGGGGUGAAAGGCCAAUCAAACCGGGAGAUAGCUGGUUCUCCCCGAAAGCUAUUUAGGUAGCGCCUCGUGAAUUCAUCUCCGGGGGUAGAGCACUGUUUCGGCAAGGGGGUCAUCCCGACUUACCAACCCGAUGCAAACUGCGAAUACCGGAGAAUGUUAUCACGGGAGACACACGGCGGGUGCUAACGUCCGUCGUGAAGAGGGAAACAACCCAGACCGCCAGCUAAGGUCCCAAAGUCAUGGUUAAGUGGGAAACGAUGUGGGAAGGCCCAGACAGCCAGGAUGUUGGCUUAGAAGCAGCCAUCAUUUAAAGAAAGCGUAAUAGCUCACUGGUCGAGUCGGCCUGCGCGGAAGAUGUAACGGGGCUAAACCAUGCACCGAAGCUGCGGCAGCGACGCUGAUGCGUUGUUGGGUAGGGGAGCGUUCUGUAAGCCUGCGAAGGUGUGCUGUGAGGCAUGCUGGAGGUAUCAGAAGUGCGAAUGCUGACAUAAGUAACGAUAAAGCGGGUGAAAAGCCCGCUCGCCGGAAGACCAAGGGUUCCUGUCCAACGUUAAUCGGGGCAGGGUGAGUCGACCCCUAAGGCGAGGCCGAAAGGCGUAGUCGAUGGGAAACAGGUUAAUAUUCCUGUACUUGGUGUUACUGCGAAGGGGGGACGGAGAAGGCUAUGUUGGCCGGGCGACGGUUGUCCCGGUUUAAGCGUGUAGGCUGGUUUUCCAGGCAAAUCCGGAAAAUCAAGGCUGAGGCGUGAUGACGAGGCACUACGGUGCUGAAGCAACAAAUGCCCUGCUUCCAGGAAAAGCCUCUAAGCAUCAGGUAACAUCAAAUCGUACCCCAAACCGACACAGGUGGUCAGGUAGAGAAUACCAAGGCGCUUGAGAGAACUCGGGUGAAGGAACUAGGCAAAAUGGUGCCGUAACUUCGGGAGAAGGCACGCUGAUAUGUAGGUGAAGUCCCUCGCGGAUGGAGCUGAAAUCAGUCGAAGAUACCAGCUGGCUGCAACUGUUUAUUAAAAACACAGCACUGUGCAAACACGAAAGUGGACGUAUACGGUGUGACGCCUGCCCGGUGCCGGAAGGUUAAUUGAUGGGGUUAGCCGCAAGGCGAAGCUCUUGAUCGAAGCCCCGGUAAACGGCGGCCGUAACUAUAACGGUCCUAAGGUAGCGAAAUUCCUUGUCGGGUAAGUUCCGACCUGCACGAAUGGCGUAAUGAUGGCCAGGCUGUCUCCACCCGAGACUCAGUGAAAUUGAACUCGCUGUGAAGAUGCAGUGUACCCGCGGCAAGACGGAAAGACCCCGUGAACCUUUACUAUAGCUUGACACUGAACAUUGAGCCUUGAUGUGUAGGAUAGGUGGGAGGCUUGGAAGUGUGGACGCCAGUCUGCAUGGAGCCGACCUUGAAAUACCACCCUUUAAUGUUUGAUGUUCUAACGUUGACCCGUAAUCCGGGUUGCGGACAGUGUCUGGUGGGUAGUUUGACUGGGGCGGUCUCCUCCUAAAGAGUAACGGAGGAGCACGAAGGUUGGCUAAUCCUGGUCGGACAUCAGGAGGUUAGUGCAAUGGCAUAAGCCAGCUUGACUGCGAGCGUGACGGCGCGAGCAGGUGCGAAAGCAGGUCAUAGUGAUCCGGUGGUUCUGAAUGGAAGGGCCAUCGCUCAACGGAUAAAAGGUACUCCGGGGAUAACAGGCUGAUACCGCCCAAGAGUUCAUAUCGACGGCGGUGUUUGGCACCUCGAUGUCGGCUCAUCACAUCCUGGGGCUGAAGUAGGUCCCAAGGGUAUGGCUGUUCGCCAUUUAAAGUGGUACGCGAGCUGGGUUUAGAACGUCGUGAGACAGUUCGGUCCCUAUCUGCCGUGGGCGCUGGAGAACUGAGGGGGGCUGCUCCUAGUACGAGAGGACCGGAGUGGACGCAUCACUGGUGUUCGGGUUGUCAUGCCAAUGGCACUGCCCGGUAGCUAAAUGCGGAAGAGAUAAGUGCUGAAAGCAUCUAAGCACGAAACUUGCCCCGAGAUGAGUUCUCCCUGACCCUUUAAGGGUCCUGAAGGAACGUUGAAGACGACGACGUUGAUAGGCCGGGUGUGUAAGCGCAGCGAUGCGUUGAGCUAACCGGUACUAAUGAACCGUGAGGCUUAACCUU
rnacentral:rRNA from 1 species